ACAGUUAGAAAUGACUGCUAAUACCGCAUAAGACCACAGCACCGCAUGGUGCAGGGGUAAAAACUCCGGUGGUAUGAGAUGGACCCGCGUCUGAUUAGCUAGUUGGUAAGGUAACGGCUUACCAAGGCGACGAUCAGUAGCCGACCUGAGAGGGUGACCGGCCACAUUGGGACUGAGACACGGCCCAAACUCCUACGGGAGGCAGCAGUGGGGAAUAUUGCACAAUGGGGGAAACCCUGAUGCAGCGACGCCGCGUGAGCGAAGAAGUAUUUCGGUAUGUAAAGCUCUAUCAGCAGGGAAGAAACUGACGGUACCUGACUAAGAAGCACCGGCUAAAUACGUGCCAGCAGCCGCGGUAAUACGUAUGGUGCAAGCGUUAUCCGGAUUUACUGGGUGUAAAGGGAGCGUAGACGGAUAGGCAAGUCUGGAGUGAAAGCCCGGGGCUCAACCCCGGGACUGCUUUGGAAACUGUUUAUCUAGAGUGCUGGAGAGGUAAGUGGAAUUCCUAGUGUAGCGGUGAAAUGCGUAGAUAUUAGGAGGAACACCAGUGGCGAAGGCGGCUUACUGGACAGUAACUGACGUUGAGGCUCGAAAGCGUGGGGAGCAAACAGGAUUAGAUACCCUGGUAGUCCACGCCGUAAACGAUGACUGCUAGGUGUCGGGUGGCAAAGCCAUUCGGUGCCGCAGCAAA
rnacentral:rRNA from 1 species